UUUAAGUGCAGUUGUGGGUUUCUAUGUCCAACGUUUCACUGUACGUCUUAUUUGAAAUUUUUUUAUGAGUAGUAUUUUUAUUGUUAUUAGAUGAUAAAACAUGAAUAGUACUUUAUGCGUGACUUUUUUUAAUUUUUUCAUAAAUUUUUCAAAUAAGACGGAUGACAAACAUUGGACACGGAAACCCACAACUGCACUUAAA
rfam:Oryza meridionalis cultivar OR44 (W2112) chromosome 5, whole genome shotgun sequence.